AAUGAACGUUGGCGGCGUGGAUUAGGCAUGCAAGUCGUGCGGUAAGGCUCCUUCGGGAGUACACGAGCGGCGAAAGGGACAGUAAUAUGUGGAUCACGUACCUUGGGGUCCGGAAUAGCUGCGGGAAACUGCAGGUAAUGCCGGAUGAUCUCUACGGAGCAAAGGUGAGAUUCCGCCCUUAGAGCGGUCCACAUCCUAUUAGCUAGUUGGUGGGGUAAAGGCCUACCAAGGCGAUGAUGGGUAGCGGGUGUGAGAGCACGACCCGCGUCACUGGGACUGAGAUACUGCCCAGACACCUACGGGUGGCUGCAGUCGAGAAUCUUCGGCAAUGGGCGCAAGCCUGACCGAGCGACGCCGCGUGCGGGAUGAAGGCCUUCGGGUUGUAAACCGCUGUCAGAGGGGAGGAAAUUUCAUGGGGUUCUCUCCAUGAAUUGACCUAUCUUCAGAGGAAGGACGGGCUAAGUUCGUGCCAGCAGCCGCCGUAAAAC
rnacentral:rRNA from 1 species